UACGUAGGGUGCAAGCGUUGUCCGGAAUUAUUGGGCGUAAAGAGCUUGUAGGCGGUUUGUCGCGUUUGCUGUGAAAUUUCGGGGCUCAACCCCGAACUUGCAGUGGGUACGGGCAGACUAGAGUGUGGUAGGGGAGACUGGAAUUCCUGGUGUAGCGGUGAAAUGCGCAGAUAUCAGGAGGAACACCGGUGGCGAAGGCGGGUCGCUGGGCCGAUACUGACGCUGAGGAGCGAAAGCGUGGGGAGCGAACAGG
rnacentral:rRNA from 1 species